rnacentral:lncRNA from 1 species
UGAUACGGCUACGGUGCUUGAGUAUUUUCUUUGUCAUACAUAUACUGAUAGCAAGUUCAUCUCUCUCUCUCUCUCUUUUUUUUUUUCCCCAUGGGGGAAACAAUUCUUUGAAAAACAUUUCAUUGUUUCCCUGAGAAGCAUAUUCUACCCUAGAGGAACUUUAAACAGUAAAAUUUAUCUAGAAAAGAAAUUUGUGAAAGAUUUGACAUUUUCUCUCUUUGAAAAGAUGUGUGUUUCCAACUGUCCCUAGAUCCCAGCAAGCCUCAAAUGGAGCCAGAAAGGGAUAGAGGAGAGAAGAACCGAUGUGUAAAUUUGUUGUGAGAGGCUCUCUUGGGCUGACCGAGACUUCAUCAUGCCAGCUGGACUGCUGAUGUCAAGAACCCAAAGAAAUGGUGUUGCCUGGCAAGAGAUUUGCUAUACUUCAUGAAAAAUCAGACCAAGUCUUCUUUUUUGAAGAACCACAUCAUAGAAUCAACUGGAUAAAGAAAUGGCAACCCACUCCAGUAUUCUUGCCUGGAGAAUCCCAUAAACAGAGGAGCCUGGCGGUCUACCGUCCAUGGGGUCACAAAGAGUCGGACACAGCUGAGAGAUUGAGCCCAUCAUGGAUUCAACAUCUUUUUGAGUCAGAUGAACCUCACCAUGAACAUUUUGAAAAUGAAAUGAAACCUAGUGAUGUAAACUGAUUUGCCCAAAUUCACACACAAAGUCAAUUGUCUAAUGAGAAGACAUGCUGACCCUAGAGUCUAUACCAUCUAAAAACAUUGCUUCCCAAGAGGAACUUAAGUCUUUAUUUCUAGUUUGAUCAGUGUCAGAUACUUAGAAUUAAAUAUUUCUUCUAACAAAGUAAGAUUGGUUUUAUUAACUAGCAGGAACCAGAAAAGUCGCAGGACUACAGGACUAUUGUCACCUCUCUGGGUGACUCACUUCUUCUUCCUAAUGGCCAGUCAGCAGGCCUUUUAGGUUUAAUUCAG